CAUUUCAAGGAAGAUGUUUUCCCCACAAUUCUUUGCCUCUGAGUCAUUUUAGAAAUCAGGAAUUCUUGACAGACCUCUUCAAAGGUACAUGUUCAACUGCUUCCUGGGGCAGAAGGCAAGGAUUUGUGCAACAUGAGCCUAUAUAUGCCAAUUUCCAAUGUUGCAACACCACUGACUCAUAAGAAAGGAUAGUCUACUGAAUCACCAUCAUCCCUUCUGCCAGCUGACAGAGGUCUCUUAUCCAUGAGGUAAUUCAGUUUGAUUCCAUUUAGAGGAGAAGAUUGAACAAGAGAGAAGGAAAUAUUUUAUCUUGGAUCACCAGGAGUCUUAUUUAAUAGAAGAUUCUGCAAUAAAGGAUGAAGCUGUUUAUAAAUCCAGGAUUGGUGGUGGUCUCCAGAAACAGAUUCUUGUCCAAGACUCUGCUGGCUUGCUCGUACAACCUGAAAUAAAUUCUUCAGACAGCCGCCCAAGCCGUGAUAGCUCUAUGGUACCUCUCAACAAAAGAGGAAAGGGAAAGCAAAUGUUUCUGUCUGCUUCAUCCCUGAAAAUGAGAGAUGAGACACGUAAUUAGCUUUUCUCAAAUUUUCCAAGAACCUGUCAGUGAAAAUAAGUAUGUCGGCAGAGAAAGGAAGCAUCUUUGGCCAAGACUUCACCUCAGCAUCUAUUAUUAUACAGUGAAACAUUUUAAUUAACGGAAAGGCUAUCAGCCAUCAGGAACAACUGAGGUCUUUCAUGCCAGUGACAAAACACUAGUAUUUCCUGGCGUAAAGUCAGAAAUCAAAAGCUGAUGCAAAAACCAGAAGAAACAAAAUUUCCCAAUGUGUUUUGUACAAGAAAAACUAGCUACCCUGUAUAGCCACUAAGCAAACAGGCUUAAGAGGUUUGGUGAGAAGGCACAGGAUUCAUUCCCAACAUGGGCACAGCAGCACCCAUAGUUACUAGUGCUGGCAAUUACUCCAAUCUCCUGGGUAUUGCCUACCAGCAUCACAUAGGGAUGUAAUUCGCAGUUUGGUGCUGGUUUGGUUGUCAUUUUGACAAA